UUCCCUAUAGUCUAGUUGGUUAGGAUAUUCGGCUCUCACCCGAAAGACCAGGGUUCGAGUCCCUGUGGGGAAA
rfam:Emiliania huxleyi CCMP1516 EMIHTscaffold_127_Cont3890, whole genome shotgun sequence.